rfam:Salmo salar isolate Sally breed double haploid chromosome ssa15, whole genome shotgun sequence.
UGCAUGCAUGACUGUAAGUCGCUUUGGAUAAAAGUGUCUGCAACAUGGCGUAUA